rnacentral:lncRNA from 1 species
UGCGUCAGUUGCCUGUCGUGCAGUUUUGUGUUCGAACAAAAAUGCGCAUCUUCGGUGGCGUUGACACCAGGCUUCGUGCUCGAAAUCAUGCUUGGAGGGCGGAAUAUUCAUGGAGCUGGGGACAUGGACAACGUGCGCCCGUUAACGAGUCCCGGAUCACUUCUCCCGCCUCUCCACUCCAGUUGACAGCCACACUCGGGGAAACGAACGUGUCGCUUGGUCUGGGGCGUCACUGCUCGUGAUGAAAAAAUCAACAGCGGCGUUCGCCCUGUCAACCGAACGAGGCAGUCGGUCCUACAUUCCCUUUGGUUGGACAAGACGACGUAGGAAAAGAGACACCGUUUUUAUGGUGCUCACGC